rnacentral:rRNA from 1 species
UUAGGCCUACGGGAGGCAGCAGUGAGGAAUAUUGGUCAAUGGGCGGGAGCCUGAACCAGCCACGUCGCGUGAGGGAAGACGGUCCUACGGAUUGUAAACCUCUUUUGCCGGGGAGCAACGGGGUCCUUGCGAGGGCCCGAUGAGAGUACCCGGAGAAAAAGCAUCGGCUAACUCCGUGCCAGCAGCCGCGGUAAUACGGAGGAUGCGAGCGUUAUCCGGAUUUAUUGGGUUUAAAGGGUGCGCAGGCGGGCUGUUAAGCCGGCGGUAAAAAUUCAGGGCUCAACCCUGUCGAGCCGUCGGAACUG